GGCGGUGUUUUAGACCUCUCAGGGGAACCUGUCUCGUAAUCGACAAUCCACGUUAAACCUAACCUUUUAUAGUGAUACAGCCUGUAUACCGUCGUCGUCAGGUAACUUCUUAAAAUAUAGUAGUUAGCUUGAGAAUUUAAUUAAUUAAAACGUCAGAUCAAGGUGCAGCUAAUAAAGAGGUGAGGAUGGGUUACAAUUACAUAUUUGUAAAUACGGAAAAUACUUGAAAUGAAGUGUUUGGAAGGAGGACUU
rnacentral:rRNA from 1 species